GGCGGCAUUUAUGUUUCGAAACUUCUCCGUUUAAUUCUCUGAUUUCACCUCUAUUUCGUGCAUAAAGACAACUUUUGGAUGACUGCGUCAUCAGAAAUGGUUUUCCUUGUGUAGCGAAAAGUGCUCAGCUAUGGAUUCACUUCACCUCAAUGCCAUCCCAAAUUUCUAGGAAGGAUCAAUUCAUAUUGUGAACUUAUAGAGGAUCAACAAGAAAACAAACGGGCAACAGAGAUAAAGUCAGUGACUGGCCAGGAUGGUGCUGGCAAGCUGCGACAACGAGUACAACUGUUAGGGGAGAAAAUGGAGCCAAGCAUAUCUGGCCGUGCUGUAGACCAUGAUCCAGACAAUGUAUAUUUGACCAGAGGGACGCGUAAUGACGUUUCGGAGCAGGAGCCGCAAGAUUGGGGCAAGAAAUGUUGUGGUAACCAAGGACAGCCCCAAUGGGAGACGUAAUAAUGACAGAGUUAGGACAGCAGAUACAUCUACCACCAUUCUGACAGCAGACUUGCGCAAGGGUACGGCUGUCUUGUGGGCACCGUUUGCAGAGGUCUGAAAAAACUAUUGCUCACUAGGAUGCACUCGCAUCUGGAACAUCUGCUGUGAAGGAGGGCUGGGGACGCACCAAGACAGAUAGUUUUUCUUUUCAGCCAUGU